CGCGGGGCGGCGGCGGCUCCCGGGUGCCGGAGUGACAGCUGGGGCGGGCCGAGCCCGGGAGGCCAGAACUGAAAGGCAGCCGCUCGCCCGAUCCGGGGCUCCCCAGCCGCUGCAGCUGCGCGCCGCCCCUCCAGCCAGAUUCUUUCAAAUUCACUGACAGAUGAAAGAAAUUGGAAAGGUUUUACAACAUACCUUAUCAAGAAAUGAAUUAAGCACGUGAAAAAGUUAAGAGACAUUUCUCAAUAGAACAUCCAAAUUUUCAAACAUCUUUUGGUUACAAUAAGAAUUAAGUGUUAGA
rnacentral:lncRNA from 1 species